GGUAAUCUUCCGCAAUGGGCGAAAGCCUGACGGAGCAAUACCGCGUGAGGGACGAAGGCUUUUGGGUCGUAAACCUCUUUUCCCUGAGAAGAAGAUCUGACGGUAUCAGGGGAAUAAGCAUCGGCUAACUUCGUGCCAGCAGCCGCGGUAAUACGAGGGAUGCAAGCGUUAUCCGGAAUUAUUGGGCGUAAAGCGUCCGCAGGUGGCUCUGUAAGUCUGUCGUUAAAGAAUGGGGCUCAACCCCAUACAGGCGAUGGAAACUACAAGGCUAGAGUUUGGUAGGGGUCACGGGAAUUCCUAGUGUAGCGGUGAAAUGCGUAGAUAUUAGGAAGAACACCAGCGGCGAAAGCGCGUGACUGGGCCAGUACUGACACUCAUGGACGAAAGCUAGGGGAGCGAAAGGGAUUAGAUACCCCUGUAGUCCUAGCCGUAAACGAUGAUAACUAGGUGUUGCCCGUAUCGACCCGGGCAGUGCCGUAGCCAACGCGUUAAGUUAUCCG
rnacentral:rRNA from 1 species